rnacentral:rRNA from 1 species
UACGGAGGGGGCUAGCGUUGUUCGGAAUUACUGGGCGUAAAGCGCACGUAGGCGGCUUUGUAAGUUAGAGGUGAAAGCCUAGAGCUCAACUCCAGAAUUGCCUUUAAGACUGCAUCGCUAGAAUUGUGGAGAGGGAUGCGGAAUUCCAGGUGUAGCGGUGAAAUGCGUAGAUAUCAGGAGGAACACCGAUGGCGAAGGCAGGUCUCUGGGCUGACACUGACGCUCAUGCACGAAAGCGUGGGGAGCAAACAGG